rnacentral:rRNA from 1 species
UUGAAACUUGUCCACUCCUUACGGGGGAGACAGUCAUGAGACGUGAGUAUAAGACCUGAGUGUAAAGACCUUAGGGUGAAGCAAUUGGAGGGCAAGCUUUGGUGCCAGCAGCCGCGGUAACUCCAACUCCAAGAGUGUCUAUGGUGGAUGCUGCAGUUAAAGGGUCCGUAGUCGUGAAUGCAAUUAAAUGUCGUUGUUCAAUAGCGAUGAGUUUGCUAAUGUUUGCGGAACGGAUAGGGAGUGUAGUAUAGACUGGCGAAGAAUGAAAUCUCAAGACCCAGUUUGGACUAACGGAGGCGAAGGCGACACUCUUAGACGUAUCUUAGGAUCAAGGACGAAGGCAGGAGUAUCGAAAGUGAUUAGACACCGCUGUAGUUCCUGCAGUAAACUAUGCCGACAGCCUGUGUGUGAGAAUACGUGGGCGGGAGAAAUCUUAGUGUUCGGGCUCUGGGGAUAGUACGCUCGCAAGGGUGAAACUUAAAGCGAAAUUGACGGAAGGACACUACCAGGAGUGGAUUGUGCUGCUUAAUUUAACUCAACGCGGGAAAACUUACCAGGGUCAAGUCAUUCGUUGAUCGAAUACGUGAGAAUGGCAGGAGUGGUGCAUGGAUCU